rnacentral:rRNA from 1 species
UACAGAGGUCCCAAGCGUUGUUCGGAAUUAUUGGGCGUAAAGGGCGCGUAGGCGGUGCGGUAAGUCUGAUGUGAAAUCUCCGGGCUCAACUCGGAGUCUGCAUCAGAAACUGCCGUGCUCGAGUGUGGGAGAGGUGAGUGGAAUUCCCGGUGUAGCGGUGAAAUGUGUAGAUAUCGGGAGGAACACCUGCGGCGAAAGCGGCUCACUGGACCACAACUGACGCUGAGGCGCGAAAGCUAGGGGAGCAAACAGG